AGGGUUCGAUUCUGGCUCAGAUUGAACGCUGGCGGUAGGCUUAACACAUGCAAGUCGUGCGAGAAAGUAUCUUCGGAUAUGAGUAGAGCGGCGGACGGGUGAGUAACGCGUAGGAAUCUACCUAGUAGAAGGGGAUAGCCCGGGGAAACUCGGAUUAAUACCGUAUACCUCCUUCGGGAGAAAGAAGGCCUCUCUUUGAAGCUUUCGCUACUAGAUGAGCCUGCGUAAGAUUAGCUUGUUGGUGAGGUAAAGGCUCACCAAGGCCACGAUCUUUAGCGGGUCUGAGAGGACGAUCCGCCACAUUGGGACUGAGACACGGCCCAGACUCCUACGGGAGGCAGCAGUGGGGAAUAUUGGACAAUGGGCGCAAGCCUGAUCCAGCCAUACCGCGUGUGUGAAGAAGGCCCUAGGGUUGUAAAGCACUUUAAGUUGGGAAGAAAAGUUAUUGGUUAAUACCCAAUGACCGUGACAUUACCAUCAGAAUAAGGACCGGCUAAUUCCGUGCCAGCCGCCGCGGUAAUACA
rnacentral:rRNA from 1 species